UGAAAGAACCUUAGUGAGCGCGCUCACAUACCCCACGUCCCCACAUUGUCAUUGGAGAAAUAAAAUAAGUGUAAGAAAAAAAAAUUGUAUCAGAAAAAAAAAUUGAAUCAUAAUUUCCUGACAAUAUGCACAUCUACAUAGUAUGUCCUUAUUAUCUACACAGUUUCAUGAAAUUCUGUUGUGUUGUUUGAGAGGAGUUGCGAUGACAAAAGGUUGCAGUAGUAUAUUGGGCAAAUAAGUUCAAAGGGCGUAACUCCUGGAAAAAAAAUUCAAUCGUAAUUUCCUGUCGAUAUGCACAUCUACAUAGUAUGUCCUUAUUAUCUGAAAAGGUUUCAUGAAAUUCUGUUGUGUGGUUUGAGAGGAGUUGCGAUGACAAGAAACAGGACUGACGAACUGACAGACGGACAGA